GAUGAACGCUGGCGGCGUGCCUAAUACAUGCAAGUCGAGCGAACAGACGAGGAGCUUGCUCCUCUGACGUUAGCGGAGGACGGGUGAGUAACACGUGGAUAACCUACCUAUAAGACUGGGAUAACUUCGGGAAACCGGAGCUAAUACCGGAUAAUAUAUUGAACCGCAUGGUUCAAUAGUGAAAGACGGUUUUGCUGUCACUUAUAGAUGGAUCCGCGCCGCAUUAGCUAGUUGGUAAGGUAACGGCUUACCAAGGCAACGAUGCGUAGCCGACCUGAGAGGGUGAUCGGCGGCCCUGGAACUGGGACGCGGUCCAGGCUCCUACGGGAGGCAGCAGUAGGGAAUCUUCCGCAAUGGGCGAAAGCCUGACGGAGCAACGCCGCGUGAGUGAUGGAGGUCUUCGGAUCGUAAAGCUCUGUUAUUAGGGAAGAACAAAUGUGUAAGUAGCUAUGCACGUCUUGACGGUACCUAAUCAGAAAGCCACGGCUAACUACGUG
rnacentral:rRNA from 1 species